CCUACGGGGGGCAGCAGUGAGGAAUAUUGGUCAAUGGGCGCGAGCCUGAACCAGCCAAGCAGCGUGAAGGACGACUGUCCUACGGGUUGUAAACUUCUUUUAUCAAGGAAUAAAGUGAGGCUCGUGAGCCUUUCUGUGUGUACUUUAUGAAUAAGGAUCGGCUAACUCCGUGCCAGCAGCCGCGGUAAUACGGAGGAUUCAAGCGUUAUCCGGAUUUAUUGGGGUUAAAGGGUGCGUAGGCGGUCGGGUAAGUUAGAGGUUAAAUCCCGGGGGCCAACCUCGGAAUUGCCGCUGAGACUGGCUGUCUAGAGAGGAGGUGCGGUAGGCGGAAUGUAUGGUGUAGCGGUGAAAUGCUUAGAGAUCAUACAGAACACCGAUUGCGAAGGCAGCUUACCAGGCUACUUCUGACGUUGAGGCACGAAAGCGUGGGGAGCAAACAGGAUUAGAUACCCUAGUAGUC
rnacentral:rRNA from 1 species